AGUGAACGCUGGCGGUAGGCCUAACACAUGCAAGUCGAACGGCAGCACAGUAAGAGCUUGCUCUUACGGGUGGCGAGUGGCGGACGGGUGAGGAAUACAUCGGAAUCUACUUUUUCGUGGGGGAUAACGUAGGGAAACUUACGCUAAUACCGCAUACGACCUACGGGUGAAAGCAGGGGAUCUUCGGACCUUGCGCGAUUGAAUGAGCCGAUGUCGGAUUAGCUAGUUGGCGGGGUAAAGGCCCACCAAGGCGACGAUCCGUAGCUGGUCUGAGAGGAUGAUCAGCCACACUGGAACUGAGACACGGUCCAGACUCCUACGGGAGGCAGCAGUGGGGAAUAUUGGACAAUAGGCGCAAGCCUGAUCCAGCCAUACCGCGUGGGUGAAGAAGGCCUUCGGGUUGUAAAGCCCUUUUGUUGGGAAAGAAAAGCAGCAGGUUAAUACCCCGCUGUUCCGACGGUACCCAAAGAAUAAGCACCGGCUAACUUCGUG
rnacentral:rRNA from 1 species